UAAAAUUUGAAAAACACGCUUUGCGCAGAACAGCACGGCACACAUGCUUCGGCGAGUUCAUUCAAAUUUCUCGCGCGUGCGCACUUCCUUGCCUGUACCAGUCGUCAUGUGCUUGUUUGCAGGACAAAUGGAUCGUUUUAAAGCCUAGAAUAUCUCCUUUUAGACUGUGCAUCCUGACCUAGCGACCAGAGAAUCUUGUUUUCAAAAACUCAAAGAAACAAAUUGGUUUAGAAUUUGAUGCCUACGGAGCACUGAAUGAUGUUUUUGGAGCCUCGAAAAUCUUGAAUCCGUACACGUUUAAUUUAUGCCUACGACCGAAGUGGCAGAAUAAUGGCGGAUAAAUGCUUUAAGGCCAUAGCUAGGCAUUGAGAAACUUCAAGCACUCUGAUGUCUUCACUUUUCAUCUCUGAAAGGACAACAGUAUACCUUCCUCUUCCGACAUUCACCUAAUGAUAACCAUGGCAGCAUCGCAGGGAGGGCAAGCUAGGCUUGAGAAAACGUCUGUCACUCUGAUGAGGUCUUCAGGUUUUACCUCCAAGAAGACAUGGUAGCUUUCACUUCCAACAUUCCCCAGAAGCUCUCGAGUCAGCUUUCAGGCCAUAGCAUUGCGAAACAUCUUGCACGCUGACGUCUUCACUGAAAGGACAACGGCACCUCCCUCUCCCGACAUUCACCUAAAGAUAACGAUGGCAGCAUCACAGGCAGGGCAAGCUAGGUCGUAGGGUUGAGAAAAGCGUCUGUCACUCUGAUGAGGUCUUCAGGUUUUGAGAAGACACGGUAGCGUUCACUUCGAACAUUCCCCAGAAGAUAACCAUGGCAGCAUCCAACGCAAGGCAAGCUAGGCGGUAGGGUCAGAAAACAUCUGUCACUCUGAUGGGGUCUUUAUGGUUUUACCUCCAAGAAGACAUGGUAGCUUUCACUUCCAACAUUCCCAAGAAGCUUCCUGGUGUUCAAGUCACAAAACUCAAGAAUACUGAACUACAGCAGACUUCCAAUGGACAGCUAAACCUACUACUAGGGCCACAAGAGGGCACCAGUCUACAAAUAUGAAGUCGAGAUUAAGACGGUACCCAAUCAUUGAAUUACGUCCCAAUAGAUCAUCAUUUAUGGGAGUUAUGUACAUCUGGGCAUGAAAUCACUUUACAUAUUAUCCCUAGGUAGUA